rnacentral:lncRNA from 1 species
GAACUGACUUUUUGGAGGCUGAGAUCUAGCAACAUCCUGGAACUGAUACAAAAGAAAUUAUUUAGGGGGCUACGAGAGGAGCAAUUUACAAACUGAUAAAGGACCCCAAGUAUCUGACCAGCAAGCCCAAGCAAGGAUUCGGUGUUUCCGAGAGCGCCUUGGGGGAUCUGCACUGCGUCUCUGAAGGUAGCACCAGCGCGGAGCAGGCAGGGUAGGGCAGAGGCCCAGACAGAUUGCCUGAAUGAUCUGAAGGAAUCUCCCACGCCGGCCCCGCCCAUCCCGCGGGCCCAUCUUCAUGCCCCAAAUGUUAGGUGACCUUCUUUCUAGUCCCAUAACCUCCCAGUUUACCGUUCGUUUCUGCCACCCAACCUGGAGACAGCAGUUGUGAAAUCUUCCCAGGCAUGUCACUUGGCGGGUCGCCAUCAGGUCAGAACCUUCGAGGCAGAUCAAGUAUGCUUUCUCCUUUGGAGCUAGCUGUGGGUCAGGAGCUUUCCCGCAGACCCUGCAGAUGUUUCAAAUGGGUUGAGGUCUGGGUUGAUCAGAGCACUCAUAGCCUGUUGCAGCGUUUACUAAUAAGUUUAGGAGGCUGAGAAUGUCUUCAUUCGACUGUUAGACAAGGAGGAAGCCCCUUAGCAACCCGGUAUAAACCCUCCUCCCAGACUGAGAGCACUCUGCUAAUUGGUUCUCACGUAUUUCUAAUCCAUUUUACAAACUAAGUCCAGUUAGGUAGAAAUUUUCGUGAGCACAAUAGCAUGACUGGGUAACAAUAAUGAGCUGGAAAUCUAAAAACAUAGAUUUUGAAAGAUCUCACCCUCUAGAAACAAUAACUGAGAAAAUCAAUACACUUAACCUGAUUUUAACAUCAUACAAUGUACACAGGUAUCGAAAGCUAGCAUUAAUACAUACAAUUUUAUGUGUGUGUGUGUGUCUAUUAAACAAAUUGAAACAAAGAAAUAGAAAAUUACGGUUGAGUCAAGAAAAUAACAUCAUGUGCUACAUUCCCUGUCUCACAUUCAGGACUACUAGGACAGACCUGACCAAAAGUCUCACUCACCAAGCUUCUCCGACCACCCCGGGGUGUCCACACUCGGUUCCUCCCAUGACAGCAGCUCCUUGUUCAGAGAGCUCUCCGUAUCACCUUGGGUAAAUAUGAAUAAAAUACACCUCUCUUUUUGAAAAC